rnacentral:rRNA from 1 species
UAGAGUUUGAUCCUGGCUCAGAUUGAACGCUGGCGGCAUGCUUUACACAUGCAAGUCGAACGGCAGCACGGGAGCUUGCUCCUGGUGGCGAGUGGCGAACGGGUGAGUAAUAUAUCGGAACGUGUCCAAUAAUGGGGGAUAACUAGUCGAAAGAUUAGCUAAUACCGCAUACGCCCUGAGGGGGAAAGUGGGGGAUCUUCGGACCUCACGUUAAUGGAGCGGCCGAUAUCUGAUUAGCUAGUUGGUGGGGUAAAGGCCCACCAAGGCGACGAUCAGUAGCUGGUCUGAGAGGACGACCAGCCACACUGGGACUGAGACACGGCCCAGACUCCUACGGGAGGCAGCAGUGGGGAAUUUUGGACAAUGGGGGCAACCCUGAUCCAGCCAUGCCGCGUGAGUGAAGAAGGCCUUCGGGUUGUAAAGCUCUUUCGCAAGGGAAGAAACGAUGCAGGUGAAUAAUCUGCGUUAAUGACGGUACCUUGAUAAGAAGCACCGGCUAACUACGUGCCAGCAGCCGCGGUAAUACGUAGGGUGCGAGCGUUAAUCGGAAUUACUGGGCGUAAAGCGAGCGCAGGCGGUUCUGCAAGUCAGAUGUGAAAUCCCCGGGCUCAACCUGGGAACUGCGUUUGAAACUACAGAGCUAGAGUAUGGGAGAGGGAGGUAGAAUUCCACGUGUAGCAGUGAAAUGCGUAGAGAUGUGGAGGAAUACCAAUGGCGAAGGCAGCCUCCUGGCCUAAUACUGACGCUCAUGCUCGAAAGCGUGGGGAGCAAACAGGAUUAGAUACC